rnacentral:rRNA from 1 species
CUGCAGCCCGAGUGGUGAUCGAUUUUAUUGAGCCUAAAGCGUCCGUAGCCGGACUAGUAAACCCUUGGGUAAAUUGGGCAGCUUAACUGUCCAAAUUCCGAGGGGACUGCUAGUCUUGGGACCGGGAGAGGUCAGAGGUACUCCAGGGGUAGGGGCUAAAUCCUGUAAUCCUUGGGGGACCACCAGUGGCGAAGGCGUCUGACUAGAACGGAUCCGACGGUAAGGGACGAAACCCUGGGGCACAAACCGGAUUAGAUACCCGAGUAGUCC